CUCAGCUCACUGCAACUUCCGCCUCCCGGGUUCAAGCAAUUCUCCUGCCUCAGCCUCCCCAGUAGCUGGAUUACAGGUUCCUGCCACCAGGGCUGGCUAAUUUUUUACUUUUAGUAGAGAGGGUGUUAUGGGCGGGUCUUUGUUCUUAGAGCUCCCAAGAUGGUGGCAGGCCACGCCCAAGAUGGGGCGGCCGCUCCAAAGAUGGCGGCAAGCCUUUUGUUCUCUUACCUGGGGUUCUUGGCUUCAUGGAUUCCAAGGAAUGGAACUUUGGGCCAUGCGGGAGCUUGACAUAGGUGGUGCAUGAAGUGUCUCAAGAGGAAGCAGAGAAUAAGAUCUCAGUUACACAGUCUGGGCAAGAAUACAAGAAAAUCACCCAAAAAACUGCGACCAUCAGAGGAGCCUCCAUGUUAGAGUCUCUGGGCCUCUGUCUCUUCAGAAUCCACCCUGGAAACAGUGUGCAUCAAAACACUUUGGAGUUCUUAGAGGCACUUGGAAUUAUCUGCUGGCUUCCCACCUUUAAAGAGACUGGGCUAGUUAAAUAUCCCCCUCUGUUCAUUUUUUUAAAUUUGAGUUUGUCAGUUCACAAUACCAGAAGAUCUGAAAGAAAAAUAAAAACAAAACCCAGAACCUCUUUGGGCUUCUCAGGCAAUAGAGAAAGACUUCCACGUACUCAGAAGACCAUCGUCA
rnacentral:lncRNA from 1 species